AACGAACGCUGGCGGCAUGCCUAACACAUGCAAGUCGAACGAUCACUUCGGUGAUAAUGGCGCACGGGUGCGUAACGCGUGGGAAUCUGCCCUUGGGUUCGGAAUAACUCAGAGAAAUUUGAGCUAAUACCGGAUGAUGACGUAAGUCCAAAGAUUUAUCGCCCAAGGAUGAGCCCGCGUAGGAUUAGCUAGUUGGUGGGGUAAAGGCCCACCAAGGCGACGAUCCUUAGCUGGUCUGAGAGGAUGAUCAGCCACACUGGGACUGAGACACGGCCCAGACUCCUACGGGAGGCAGCAGUGGGGAAUAUUGGACAAUGGGCGAAAGCCUGAUCCAGCAAUGCCGCGUGAGUGAUGAAGGCCUUAGGGUUGUAAAGCUCUUUUACCCGGGAUGAUAAUGACAGUACCGGGAGAAUAAGCUCCGGCUAACUCCGUGCCAGCCGCCGCAGUAAUAC
rnacentral:rRNA from 1 species